GUUGUAUGGUUAAGUGACUAAGCGUACACGGUGGAUGCCUUGGCAGUCAGAGGCGAUGAAAGACGUAGUAACUUGCGAUAAGCCCAGAUUAGGUAGUAACAACCAUUUGAGUCUGGGAUUUCUGAAUGGGGAAACCCACUUACAUAAGUAAGUAUCAUUAACUGAAUACAUAGGUUAAUGAGGCGAACCGGGGGAACUGAAACAUCUAAGUACCCCGAGGAAAAGAAAUCAACCGAGAUUCCGAAAGUAGCGGCGAGCGAAAUUGGACUAGCCCUUAAGCUUUACACGCGUUAGACGAACGGUCUGGAAAGUCCGACGAUACAGGGUGAUAGUCCCGUAGUUGACGACGUGUGUUCAGUGAAAUCGAGUAGGGCGGGACACGUGAUAUCCUGUCUGAAUAUGGGGGGACCAUCCUCCAAGGCUAAAUACUACUGACUGACCGAUAGUGAACCAGUACCGUGAGGGAAAGGCGAAAAGAACCCCUGUGAGGGGAGUGAAAUAGAACCUGAAACCGUGUACGUACAAGCAGUAGGAGCAGGCUUUGUCCUGUGACUGCGUACCUUUGUGCGCCGUUUGACUAUCAGGCGCGGACUGUUACCUUGGCCAACGAGCUUUUCUAAUGCUUUCCCAAUCUGAGGCCAGUUUAUGGACUGAGAUGGAUAUAGACCCGAAACCAGGUGAUCUAGCCAUGGGCAGGUUGAAGGUUGAGUAACAUCAACUGGAGGACCGAACCGACUAAUGUUGAAAAAUUAGCGGAUGACUUGUGGCUAGGGGUGAAAGGCCAAUCAAACCUGGAGAUAGCUGGUUCUCCCCGAAAGCUAUUUAGGUAGCGCCUCGGACGAAUACUACUGGGGGUAGAGCACUGUUAAGGCUAGGGGGUCAUCCCGACUUACCAACCCUUUGCAAACUCCGAAUACCAGUAAGUACUAUCCGGGAGACACACGGCGGGUGCUAACGUCCGUCGUGGAGAGGGAAACAACCCAGUGGCGGUCGAUUCCAGGGUUUAAUGAUGAUUCACCCUUUGCUACACCCUUCCGAGUCUGUCGGUCCUACAACCGAAUCUUCGUCGGUAGUAAAAAAGAAAGCGUAAUAGCUCACUGGUCGAGUCGGCCUGCGCGGAAGAUGUAACGGGGCUAAGUAGUAAACCGAAGCUGCGGCAAUACUCUUUGAGUAUUGGGUAGGGGAGCGUUCUGUAAGCGGUUGAAGGUGUGUGGUAACGCAUGCUGGACGUAUCAGAAGUGCGAAUGCUGACAUGAGUAACGAUAAAGGGGGUGAAAAACCUCCUCGCCGGAAGACCAAGGGUUCCUGUCCAACGUUAAUCGGGGCAGGGUAAGUCGACCCCUAAGGCGAGGCCGAAAGGCGUAGUCGAUGGGAAACGGGUUAAUAUUCCCGUACUUCUUACAAUUGCGAUGGGGGGACGGAGAAGGCUAGGUGGGCCUGGCGACGGUUGUCCAGGUUCAAGUGCGUAGGCUUAAGAGUUAGGUAAAUCCGGCUCUUUUUAAGGCUGAGACACGACGUCGAGCACCUACGGGUGUGAAGUCAUUGAUGCCAUGCUUCCAGGAAAAGCCUCUAAGCUUCAGAUUGUAAGGAAUCGUACCCCAAACCGACACAGGUGGUCGGGUAGAGAAUACCAAGGCGCUUGAGAGAACUCGGGUGAAGGAACUAGGCAAAAUGGUACCGUAACUUCGGGAGAAGGUACGCUCUUCGAGAGUCGCAGAUACCAGGUGGCUGCAACUGUUUAUUAAAAACACAGCACUGUGCAAAAUCGUAAGAUGACGUAUACGGUGUGACGCCUGCCCGGUGCCGGAAGGUUAAUUGAUGGGGUUAGACUUCGGUCGAAGCUCUUGAUCGAAGCCCCGGUAAACGGCGGCCGUAACUAUAACGGUCCUAAGGUAGCGAAAUUCCUUGUCGGGUAAGUUCCGACCUGCACGAAUGGCGUAAUGAUGGCCACGCUGUCUCCACCCGAGACUCAGUGAAAUUGAAAUCGCUGUGAAGAUGCAGUGUACCCGCGGCUAGACGGAAAGACCCCGUGAACCUUUACUACAGCUUGGCACUGAACAUUGACCCUACAUGUGUAGGAUAGGUGGGAGGCUUUGAAGCACGUACGCCAGUAUGUGUGGAGCCGUCCUUGAAAUACCACCCUUGUAGUGUUGAUGUUCUAACGUCGACCCCUAAUCGGGGUUGCGGACAGUGCCUGGUGGGUAGUUUGACUGGGGCGGUCUCCUCCCAAAGAGUAACGGAGGAGCACGAAGGUGGGCUAAUCACGGUUGGACAUCGUGAGGUUAGUGCAAUGGCAUAAGCCCGCUUGACUGCGAGAAUGACAAUUCGAGCAGGUGCGAAAGCAGGUCAUAGUGAUCCGGUGGUUCUGAAUGGAAGGGCCAUCGCUCAACGGAUAAAAGGUACUCCGGGGAUAACAGGCUGAUACCGCCCAAGAGUUCAUAUCGACGGCGGUGUUUGGCACCUCGAUGUCGGCUCAUCACAUCCUGGGGCUGAAGUCGGUCCCAAGGGUAUGGCUGUUCGCCAUUUAAAGUGGUACGCGAGCUGGGUUUAGAACGUCGUGAGACAGUUCGGUCCCUAUCUGCCGUGGGCGUUGGAAGAUUGAAGGGGGCUGCUCCUAGUACGAGAGGACCGGAGUGGACGAACCUCUGGUGUUCGGGUUGUGUCGCCAGACGCAUUGCCCGGUAGCUAAGUUCGGAAUCGAUAACCGCUGAAAGCAUCUAAGCGGGAAGCGAGCCCUGAGAUGAGUCUUCCCUGAUACUUUAAGUAUCCUAAAGGGUUGUCGGAGACUACGACGUUGAUAGGUCAGGUGUGUAAGUGCUGUGAGGCAUUGAGCUAACUGAUACUAAUUGCCCGUGAGGCUUAACCAUACAACACCCAAGGGGUUU
rnacentral:rRNA from 1 species